rnacentral:lncRNA from 1 species
AGGGAAGUAGGGAGGGAAGGAGACAAGGGAGAGAGAAACAGGUGGAGGGAGAGAGAGCAAAAUAGAAAAUAUAAUAAUUAUAAUUCUAUUCCAUUUUUUGGAAAUAGAAUAGAAUACAAUAAUAUAUUAUUUGAAAAUCUAUAUUAUUAAAACAAAAGUACAAAUAUCUAUAUUAUUAAAACAUAAGUACAAAUAUAAAUUUACCCUAAAACUUAUAAAUUAUUUACAUAUCAGUGUCACUAAAGUAAUAAAUUCUCUAAUU